AUUGAACGCUGGCGGCAUGCCUUACACAUGCAAGUCGAACGGCAGCACGGGGGGUAACCCCUGGUGGCGAGUGGCGAACGGGUGAGUAAUAUAUCGGAACGUGUCCUGUAGCGGGGGAUAACCUAUCGAAAGAUGGACUAAUACCGCAUACGACCUACGGGUGAAAGCGGAGGACCGCAAGGCUUCGCACUAUAGGAGCGGCCGAUAUCGGAUUAGCUAGUUGGCGGGGUAACGGCCCACCAAGGCGACGAUCCGUAGCUGGUCUGAGAGGACGACCAGCCACACUGGAACUGAGACACGGUCCAGACUCCUACGGGAGGCAGCAGUGGGGAAUUUUGGACAAUGGGCGCAAGCCUGAUCCAGCCAUGCCGCGUGAGUGAAGAAGGCCUUCGGGUUGUAAAGCUCUUUCGGCGGGGACGAAACGGUUCGUGCUAAUACCACGGACUACUGACGGUACCCGCAGAAGAAGCACCGGCUAACUACGU
rnacentral:rRNA from 1 species